GGGGGUGCGGCAUCAAAGACAUGCAAGUCGGACGGGAUUACUUUUGGUAUCAAUACCGAAAGUGAUUCAGUGGCGAACGGGUGCGUAACACUUGGGCAAUCUACCGAGAAGUGGGGGAUAGCUCGCCGAAAGGCGAAUUAAUACCGCAUGUGAUCAGAGGCGACAUCGCUUCGAAAUCAAAGGUGGCGCAAGCUACCGCUUUUUGAGGAGCCCGCGGCCUAUCAGCUUGUUGGUGAGGUAACGGCUCACCAAGGCAUUGACGGGUAGCUGGUCUGAGAGGACGACCAGUCACACUGGGACUGAGACACGGCCCAGACACCUACGGGUGGCAGCAGUCGAGAAUUUUUCUCAAUGGGGGAAACCCUGAAGGAGCGACGCCGCGUGGAGGAUGAAGGUCUUCGGGUUGUAAACUCCUGUCAUUUGGGAACAAGGUGUGCGCGUUAACUGCGCGCGCAUUGAUAGUACCAGAAGAGGAAGAGACGGCUAACUCUGUGCCAGCAGCCGCGGUAAUACAGAGGUCUCAAGCGUUGUUCGGAUUCAUUGGGCGUAAAGGGUGCGUAGGCGGCGCGGUAAGUCGGGUGUGAAAUUUCGAGGCUUAACUUCGAAACUGCAUUCGAUACUGCCGUGCUUGAGGACUGGAGAGGAGACUGGAAUUUACGGUGUAGCGGUGAAAUGCGUAGAUAUCGUAAGGAAGACCAGUGGCGAAGGCGGGUCUCUGGACAGUUCCUGACGCUGAGGCACGAAGGCCAGGGGAGCAAACGGGAUUAGAUACCCCGGUAGUCCUGGCAAUAAACGGUGCACGUUUGGUGUGGGAGGAUUCGACCCCUUCUGCGCCGGAGCUAACGCGUUAAACGUGCCGCCUGGGGAGUACGGUCGCAAGAUUAAAACUCAAAGAAAUUGACGGGGGCCCGCACAAGCGGUGGAGUAUGUGGCUUAAUUCGAUGCAACGCGAAGAACCCUUACCUGGGCCUUGACAUGCAUCUCUAAGCUGGUGAAGCCAGUGAGUCCCGAAAGGGA
rnacentral:rRNA from 1 species